GAUCUAGUCAACUUCCAGCAUAAUUCAUCGGGUUGGUGAGAAAGUUGAACCUCCAUCAGUCUUCUAACUAGAUGGAGCCAUUCUUCCCAACGAUUGCCCGCUAGCAUCCGUCUAAACUGAAUAUUAAGGUGGGUAGAGUGAAAUACUGUUGCCACGAACACCUCACGACGUUGAGCAAUCCGAUAUAAAGACGGAUAUACAUUGUAUAGUAACAUGCACGAGCAUGUAAGGGAUCUUCAAUGCGGGACCGUAUUGACACCACUUUUUGGCAUGUAUGAUCAAGUCCUCAAAACUAUCUCAAAUGGAGAAGUGUUUAACAUGGAAAUUCCUCCCCUCGUCGCAGCGAACUAUUUUGCCUUUUGAAUCAUCUCAAUCCGAGGCCGUUUGCAGAAUUUAAAUAUCAUACAGUCUAGUGUGUAUUGCUUGCUAAAAAGAAAGAGGGGAUAGACAGCAGCCGACAUGAACGUGAGGUGGCAGCAUCCGCCCGUCCUGUGGUCGGAAGGCGGAUGAUUUUCAGGCCCCGAGCGGAGUCGACCUGACGCCUGAAACUGACCUAAAGCUACAACCAAGUAUACAAGAGUUCAGAAAACAUAGCAGAAGCAGAGGAAGCUACAUGCAAGUAUUUAGAGUUCAGAAAACAGAGCAUAGCAGAUGAAAGCUAGCUACAGGCAAUAACGAUGACAGGCAAACAGAGCAAAGCAGAUGCUUGAUUUCCUAUCCUUGUCCACUGCCUUGUGCCUUCACUUCUCGCUGGUGGCCAGAGUCGAGUCAAGGUCCACAAAGGUGAAGUCGCUGGAGUAUUGAGUUUGCAAUCCAGGCCCUGGUCUCAAAAGACAGAUAUCAUCAUCAUCAUCAAUGGACCUCCAAUAUUGAACUGCCUAUGAAUAUGCUAGAAUAUUGUGAACUGGAAACUAUCAGUAUUCAAAGAUAUGAUUUGUAGACAGAUUGCAAAGCUAGAGUUUCUCAUCAAGAUGGCCAAGUGAUGAGCUGGAUCUUUCUUCAGGAGCCAAGGUGUCUACCUAGUAGAAAUCACUGCUGAUGUUCCCUUUCCAUUUUCUUACCCACUGGAUUUCUUCAUAAAAUUGUUCUGUUUUGUGUGCAGUGUCUGCAUUUGAAAUAGUAACUGAACCUUCUGUCCUUUCAAUUUUGGAGGAAGCAAUUGUGGAACUCUGGAAACAGGGUGAACAGCCUAUGAUAGAUCAUUGUCUAGUUGCAUUCCUACACACAGACACACGCACACAAAACAUAAUCCGUAUCCAGUGUCUGAAGUGAGAUGACACUAAAUCUAUUCAAUGUUCCAGAAUAUUGAUG
rnacentral:rRNA from 1 species